rnacentral:lncRNA from 1 species
CUCACAACAUGUGAAAGGAAUCUUUAAUUGAGAUUAAGCUUAAUCUAUCUUGAAAUGGAGAAAUUGUCCUCCAUUAUUUAGUUUAAUUCACAUAGUCACAAGUGUUCUUCCCAUAGGAAGGUGAGAGGACAGAGUAGGAAAAAAAAUGAAAUGACUGGAGAAUCAGAGAUCAAAGUGAUGAUGCUGUAAGACAAGAGAGAAAUAAGUUGCAAAGUCAAAGUUACCAACUCUUAUUGACAUAGAGAUCACUGGCUACUUAAACUGUUUCAGUUUUGAGAAUCAGCAUCGUGAACUUCUUUGAGGAGACUAGGGCCAGGAUUAACUCAACCAUUGGUUACCUGCUGAAUACUGGAAUAAAAUCAACAGGUGAACUCCCAGACAUUUGCAAAAGUAAGACACAGUAAAAUUACUCUAUUUACUUAUUUUGUUGUUUUUUUUUUA